rnacentral:rRNA from 1 species
UGCAUAGACAGCUAGGAUGUUGGCUUAGAAGCAGCCAUCAUUUAAAAAGUGCGUAAUAGCUUACUAGUCGAGCAACUCUGCGCCGAAAAUGAACGGGACUAAACAUGAAGCCGAAGCUCCAGACUAAACACCUUUGUUGGUGUUUAUUGGUAGGGGAGCGUUGGACGAGCGGUUGAAGGCAGAGGGUAACUACUGCUGGACGUGGUCCAAGUGAUUAUGCCGGGAUGAGUAGCGAGAAAGAAGGUGAGAAUCCUUCUCGCCGUAAGCCUAAGGUUUCCUGGGCAAGGCAAUUCCGCCCAGGGUUAGUCGGUCCCUAAGGCGAGGCUGAAAAGCGUA